GGCCUCAUUGGCCGGAAGGGAUUCCUUCCAGUUGAUGAGGCUGUUCCACCUCAUUGAUUGGAAGGAAUUCCUUCCGUUCAAUGGGGUUGUUAUACCUCAUCAAUCUGAAGGAAAUCCUUCCAAUCAAUGAGGUAUAACAACCUCAUCAACCGGAAAAGAUUCCUUCCGGUCGAUGAGGCA
rnacentral:miRNA from 1 species